rnacentral:lncRNA from 1 species
CCCUUGCAUUAUUUGGAGGUCCUACAUCCUACAUCCUAUAUCAGUACCGCAAACAAAACAAAACAAAAACAAAGCCAUACCUGUCCCGUGUGCUCUGCAUAGGUUUUUCUUAUGCUAGGCCUAAUGACUAAUCAGACUGUGGCAAAACUGCCCUCUUCUGCCCCCGCCUUCACUGUCCACGUAACAAGGCUUCAUUCUUCCUCAUCUUCACUACAAUAACUUUACCAUUCCCAGAGACUCUUGCCCAGGCAAAUAGCUUGAUUGUUCAUUCCAGGAAUUUCCCCAAAGACCCGUCGACUCUUUAAUAGGAAACAUCAACAGGCAUGUUGGACCCCCAGGAUGCUUCAAACUCCUCAUCUUGCUGUUUUCAACAACCUGACACUGCUGUCUCGCUUUUCCACAAACCCAAUCAAACAAGUCCCUCUUUACGCCAAGCUUGGAACUCGCAGAGCUCUGUCUGACCUCUCUCCUGCCCCUGGCAGCCCGGACAGAGGCUGGAGGAGCUGCUGCCCGCGCACUCCGCUCGCUGAGUACUGGCUUCGGCUGUCUCGGGGGUCGGAGGGUGCUGUUUGGGCGGAGCGUUUGGCAAGAGCAAUGCCCACUACCUGCCAGCGUCUCUCUUCCGCAGAACAGGAAGUCUGUGUGCCCCUUCCCAAAGUCUCUCCCCCUUACUCUGGGAGGUUGAGAAAGGAGGAUUGCAAGCCCAGGCUGGGCAGCUCUUUCCCUCAAACUGGACUGUGUUUUGAGGAUGAGAACAAUUGAAUAGAUGUGCGGAUGAGGUCUACAGAGCUGGCCUCCGUGGAGCGAGGCCACACACAGGUGCCACGCAGCCAGUCCUGCCUCUCGAAGUUGCCCGCUCCCAGCUGGAAAGGCUUUCAGGAGGACAUUUCAAAUCAGCUGGAAGGCCGUGUGUGGUGGCACACGCCUGUAAUCCCAGCACUCGAGAGGCUGAGGCAAGAGGAUUGGCAUGACUUCGAGACCAGCCUGUGCUACAAAGUGAGCUCAAGGCCAGCCUGAACUGAAUAGCGAGACCCUGUCUCACACACACAAAAAAGAAAAGUAAAAUAAAAUCAACUGGAAACUCUA